UGUCCUGGGAGCUGGAGCCCUGUCCUGUUUCCCUGUCCUGUUUCUGAAGCAGACAUGGGCCCAGAACAUGUGAAUCCCACCUAAAGUGCUGGAACUCCAUUCUGUUUAUACUCAAAGAAAACAAAAAUUGAACACCUCUUUGUACCUGUUUCUUAGUUAAAAGUUUGCUCUAGGCUGACAUAAACAUAUUUUCAGUAAUUUGGGGAACAUAGUCAAAGUCUUGGAGUUGAAGAUUCUUCAACAGAACAAAGUUAAACCACGUCAUAUUAUAUACACAAAAGUCAAGCAUCCGAGAAGAGGGAGAGACGCUAGAGAGAAACCAGUUGGUAAAAUGUUGUCUGCAGAAAUAAAGAAAAUGCCACCUGGCUGUACUUUGGCUGGUCUACGGUGAACCGGGCGGUCAUCACUUAAGGACUGGAUGAAUGACUCCAUGUUCCUUACCAAGUCUAC